rnacentral:rRNA from 1 species
UACAGAGGUCUCAAGCGUUUGUUCGGAUUCAUUGGGCGUAAAGGGUGCGUAGGCGGCGCGGUAAGUCGGGUGUGAAAAUCUCGGAGCUUAACUCCGAAACUGCAUUCGAUACUGCCGUGCUUGAGGACUGGAGAGGAGACUGGAAAUUUACGGUGUAGCGGUGAAAUGCGUAGAUAUCGUAAGGAAGACCAGUGGCGAAGGCGGGUCUCUGGACAGUUCCUGACGCU